rnacentral:rRNA from 1 species
GACGAACGCUGGCGGCGUGCUUAACACAUGCAAGUCGAACGAAGAGCGAUGGAAGCUUGCUUCUAUCAAUCUUAGUGGCGAACGGGUGAGUAACGCGUAAUCAACCUGCCCUUCAGAGGGGGACAACAGUUGGAAACGACUGCUAAUACCGCAUACGAUCUAAUCUCGGAUCGAGGAUAGAUGAAAGGUGGCCUCUACAUGUAAGCUAUCACUGAAGGAGGGGAUUGCGUCUGAUUAGCUAGUUGGAGGGGUAACGGCCCACCAAGGCGAUGAUCAGUAGCCGGUCUGAGAGGAUGAACGGCCACAUUGGGACUGAGACACGGCCCAGACUCCUACGGGAGGCAGCAGUGGGGAAUCUUCCGCAAUGGACGAAAGUCUGACGGAGCAACGCCGCGUGAGUGAUGACGGCCUUCGGGUUGUAAAGCUCUGUUAAUCGGGACGAAAGGCCUUCUUGCGAACAGUAGAAGGAAUGACGGACCGGAAUA